UGGGGAAUAUUGCACAAUGGGGGAAACCCUGAUGCAGCGACGCCGCGUGAGCGAAGAAGGCUUUCGAGUCGUAAAGCUCUGUCCUAUGAGAAGAUAAUGACGGUAUCAUAGGAGGAAGCCCUGGCUAAAUACGUGCCAGCAGCCGCGGUAAUACGUAUGGGGCGAGCGUUGUCCGGAAUCACUGGGCGUAAAGGGUUCGCAGGCGGAAAUGCAAGUCAGUUGUGAAAGGCAGAGGCUCAACCUCUGUAAGCAAUUGAAACUGUAUUUCUUGAGAUGUGGAGAGGCAAGUGGAAUUCCUAGUGUAGCGGUGAAAUGCGUAGAUAUUAGGAAGAAUACCGGUGGCGAAGGCGACUUGCUGGACACAAACUGACGCUGAGGAACGAAAGCGUGGGUAGCAAACAGG
rnacentral:rRNA from 1 species